GCAACCCUGCUGUGUGCGUGAUGAGCUUGCCAGUGUUGAGCCAACGCUUCACAAAUGGGGGUCACAAAUACGCCGAGGGGAUGUAGUAGCUCACGGUUUCGGCCGUCCGGCCAGGCAGAUACUCGCGAUAAGGCUCCCACCUGCAUAUGCAGGUUCAAACAACGGGGUUCACACGGCAUGGCGGGGCUACU
rnacentral:other from 1 species